rfam:Epulopiscium sp. AS2M-Bin002 AS2M_MBin02_335, whole genome shotgun sequence.
GUGAGGAUAGCUCAGUUGGUUAGAUCGCCAGAUUGUGGCUCUGGAGGCCGCGGGUUCGAAUCCCGUUCUUCACC